AUGGAGCUGGGGGCGGCCGGGAUGCGGCGGUCGGCGUCGCACAACUCGCUGUCCGGGUCCGAUGACUUCGACCUCACACACCUGCUCAACAAGCCGCGGAUCAACGUCGAGCGCCAGCGCUCCUUCGAUGACCGUUCGCUCAGCGACGUCUCCUACUCCGGUGGCCACGCCAGAGGAGGCGGAGGCUUCGACGGCAUGUACUCCCCGGGCGGCGGUCUACGCUCUCUGGUCGGCACGCCGGCCUCCUCGGCGCUCCACUCUUUCGAGCCCCACCCCAUAGUGGGCGACGCCUGGGAGGCCCUCCGCCGCUCCCUCGUCUUUUUCCGCGGCCAGCCGCUUGGUACCAUCGCCGCUUUCGACCAUGCAUCCGAGGAAGUCCUAAACUAUGAUCAGGUGUUUGUGAGAGAUUUCGUGCCCAGCGCCAUGGCGUUUCUGAUGAAUGGCGAGCCGGAGAUUGUCAAGAACUUCCUGCUCAAGACCGUGUUGCUGCAGGGUUGGGAGAAGAAGGUUGAUCGGUUUAAGCUUGGCGAGGGGGCCAUGCCUGCAAGCUUUAAAGUGCUUCAUGACGAUAAGAAGGGUGUUGAUACCCUGCACGCGGAUUUUGGUGAGAGCGCAAUUGGGCGGGUUGCACCAGUGGAUUCGGGCUUCUGGUGGAUCAUACUAUUGCGGGCCUACACAAAGUCCACCGGGGAUUUGACUCUGGCAGAGAGGCCGGAAUGCCAGAAGGCGAUGAGGCUCAUUCUGAGCUUGUGCUUGUCUGAGGGAUUUGAUACCUUCCCGACAUUGUUAUGUGCUGAUGGUUGCUGCAUGAUAGAUCGUAGGAUGGGUGUGUAUGGCUACCCCAUUGAAAUUCAAUCCCUUUUCUUCAUGGCACUAAGGUGUGCUCUUCUAAUGCUUAAACAUGACGCUGAAGGGAAAGAUUUUGUGGAGCGGAUUGCAACUCGUCUUCAUGCUUUAAGUUAUCACAUGCGGAGUUAUUUUUGGCUAGAUUUCCAGCAGCUAAAUGAUAUUUAUCGUUACAAGACGGAAGAAUAUUCUCAUACAGCUGUCAACAAAUUUAAUGUUAUUCCAGAUUCUAUUCCGGACUGGCUAUUUGAUUUCAUGCCUUGCGAGGGUGGUUUUUUUGUUGGUAAUGUCAGUCCUGCAAGGAUGGACUUCCGUUGGUUUGCACUUGGAAACAUGAUUGCCAUAGUAUCAUCUCUUGCUACACCUGAGCAAUCCAUGGCCAUAAUGGAUCUCAUUGAGGAGCGCUGGGAAGAGUUAAUUGGUGAGAUGCCUCUGAAGAUAUGCUAUCCUGCUAUUGAGAACCAUGAAUGGCGUAUCGUGACGGGAUGUGAUCCAAAAAAUACGAGAUGGAGUUACCACAAUGGAGGAUCUUGGCCAGUACUUCUCUGGCUGCUCACAGCAGCAAGCAUCAAAACUGGACGGCCGCAAAUUGCAAGAAGAGCAAUUGACCUAGCUGAGAGGAGGCUGUUGAAGGAUGGCUGGCCUGAGUAUUACGAUGGUAAGCUUGGAAAAUAUGUUGGCAAGCAGGCAAGGAAAUUUCAGACUUGGUCCAUUGCCGGGUAUUUGGUCGCCAAGAUGCUGCUGGAGGAUCCUUCGCAUCUUGGUAUGAUAGCCUUGGAAGAGGACAAGGCAAUGAAGCCAGUUUUGAGAAGGUCCGCCUCAUGGACAAACUGA
rnacentral:rRNA from 1 species